AUUGAACGCUGGCGGCAGGCUUAACACAUGCAAGUCGAACGAGUGGCGGACGUGUGAGUAAUGCUUGGGAAUCUAGCUUAUGGAGGGGGAUAACUACGGGACACUGUAGCUAAUACCGCGUACCAUAGGAUGAGCCCAAGUGGGAUUAGGUAGUUGGUGGGGUAAAGGCUCACCUAGGCGACGAUCCCUAGCUGGUCUGAGAGGAUGACCAGCCAAACUGGAACUGAGACACGGGCCAGACGCCUACGGGAGGCAGCAGUGGGGAAUAUUGCACAAUGGGCGCAAGCCUGAUGCAGCCAUGCCGGGUGUGUGAAGAAGGCCUUCGGGUUGUAAAGCACUUUCAGCGAGGAGGCGUUACUCGAAGAAGAAGCACCGGCUAACUCCGUGCCAGAGCCGCGGUAAUAC
rnacentral:rRNA from 1 species